ACGUAUUACACUUGCCCUAACGCGAAAGUGAGCGGCGGCGGCGCCAGAAAUAAGCGAGGCAACUUGUUUGGAGUUGUUUGCCGGUUAAAAAAAAAACUUAGUUAUUCUGUAAGUAUUUCUUUAGCUUUCUUUAAGCAACAUUUUCGUCGCACUGAAAAUAACUGCUAACGUCUCGAGUUGAUCCAUUCGUCAAAAGUUUUUCAACCCGUUGCCGUGUGAAUAAAGCCAUUUUCUAUUUGAAAUGUUGCUCGUCUACUUUUAUAAUCUCAUUCCUACUCCCAUUUAAAAGUCUUAAUUACUUACAUUAUUUUGACUCCAAGGGAAACGUUUCUUUGUAGUAGUGUUAUGUCUGUCAGGUUUACCCAUUGAUAUAAAAUCUUCAGUAUAUAACCGACCAUUUAUAGAUUCUCUCACAAAGCUGUUAUUCGUAGUUUGUCUCGGUGUACAUGGCAGCUUCGGUAACCCAAAUGGGAUUUGCUUGGUGCUUUCGGUGAAGUCACAAGACGCACUUUUGUGACCUCCAAUGUGAUGUUAAAUCACCUCGCCACCAGAGGGCGACAAAACUGUAAGAUCAACUUAGUCAUGAAUGGAAAAUUCAUCAUCUUUUAAUUCUGCUGUACGCUAGUUUUGUGUUUCUUUGCAGCAGAGCUAAUGGCAAACGGACGCGUUGAAAUUCAUGACCCUUUGGCCAACCUCAACCACCUCAGCCGGCCAGACAGCCCUGUCACUAAAGAGGAAGAACCUAGAUAAAAGGAAAAGUCAUAAACUUGUUAAGACAAGGCCUCCAGGAGAACGCCAUCAACGGUGCCCACCUGUGGAUGGAGACCAGCUGCUCGGGCGAACUCUGCUACCUCGGGGAGGACGCCUGCCUGCUCAAGGCUGCGAAGUCUGCGCCCAGGAGGAAGUGGGUCGCCUGCAAGAUCGUCGUCCACACCAGCUGCACCGAGCAGCUGGAGAAGGUAGUGCGCACGCACGCACGCACGCACGCACGCACGCACGCACGCACGCACGCACGCACGCACGCACGCACGCACGCACGCACGCACGCACGCACGCACGCACACAGGAAAUCCAGAGCCCUGACGUGACGCCUUGGCCGUCUCGUGAUCAAGAUCAACUUCAGGUGCAAGCCGACUUUCAGGGUAGGAGGCUCACGGUGCCUGCGAGAUAACGUGCUGAGCUGCAGUGCGGGAAGGUCUGUGGCAGCCAUGCAGCCAGGCUGGUAGGCCAGCUAAAUGGACGCCCGGCCGCCCCGUCUCUGCGAGCGACAUCCCUUUCCGUCCUCGUCUUUUGUUUGUCCUUUCCUUCCGCAGAGCUUUCAGCAGAAGUUCUUCCACAGUAAUCAUCGCCAUCAGCUGUUCGUGGUGCAAGCAGGCUGUGAGUUUGGCUCAAAUUGGAAUUCUCGCGUGCGAACGGGCUUGCCCACCAUCUGAGCUAAAUUCCGUCAGACUAUAGACACAAAACAUGUAACGAACUCGGCGAUGUGAUGUGUGAAAAUGUUGAAACGAGCUGCUGGCCGGUGCUAAUUUGUGUGCUUUGCGCGGGCAGUUCCACAACAAGGUCACGUGCUUCAUGCUGCACCAGAUCGAGGAACCUUUGGGCUUCAAGUCAUUCGUUUGGAAGCACUUUGGAUUCCAAAGAAAAGAUGGCUCAACGGCCAAUUAAAAUUAUUGUCAAUAAAUAGUUCAGUAAUGCACUUUAAAGUUAAUGGUAUUACAAAAAAAGAAAGAAUAUUCAUUUUUCUUUACUUACUUAUAUGAGAAAAAAUAUAGUAAUUUGAUUAAGUUCAGUGUUAAAAUAAGCACUUGUAUACUACAAUACUAAAUAAAGAGUUUGCAGUACCUUGUUGAUUUUGCGUAUGAAUGGUUAUAAAUCAGGAUAUUGUUCUAUAUUUUUUAUUUAAAAAAAAUUAUAUAUAUCGAUCGUGGAGCACUAUAUCGUGAUGUAUCGUGAAUGAAUCACAGCAGGCUUUAAGAUAUCGGCAAACAUCGUAUCGCGAUUCUUUGUAUCGAUAUGAUAUCGUAUCGUGACAAAACCCGCGAUUUACACCCCUAUUAUGGAGCGUCUUUGUGUUUUGGGAUGGCUUUACUGCUCCUACUUGCUUCCUCUGGAGGCAUGAUUAGAGUUGAUGCAAUCCUCAGAGUAACAAGAACGUAAAGGAGUCAAUUGGCAUGCGGGUCCUCUCGUUUCAUCUCGCGAGGUUCGACAACCGAAUUUCGUCCGACAUCCGAAGCAAAGAAAUCUCGAAUUUUUUGUUCGAAUACCGAUUUGUUCGAGAACCGGGACGUUCGAAAACCGAGGCUCCGCUGUAUUUGUAAUAGGAAAAAUAGAUUCGGAAUUCGACCGAUUUGCUUCUUGAACCGCCUUCUGGAACGGAUUGCGGUCGAAAACCGAGGUUUGACUGUAUUUUUGCUAUUAUUGUUAAAAUCACACUUAGAUGUGAACUGGAAAUGACAAUAACAACACAUAGUGAAAGCUAAAUUGAGCAAAUUGGCUAUUUCAGAAGUGUGUGUCAAACUGGUAGCCCUUUGUCUUAAUCAGUCCUCAGGAAGUAGCUCUCGGUUUAAGAAAGGUUGGUGACCCCUGUCCUAAAGGUUAGACACAUGUGAUCAUUCAUUUCUCUUGUUAGGAGACACACAUCGCCAAUGACUCCUGUACCACUGUAACCGACAUAUGUUCAAGAACGUAAAAAAGGAAGGAAGUGUUAUCUAUCGCCUGAAAACGGCCUUCAAAAUAAAUCACCCUACCUCAAAUCAAAGCAUGGCUGAAUAACAUAAAUAACAUGGAGAAUUCUUAUCACAAACUGUAAAUAUGUUUUUAGAACAACUUUUAUUAUUAUACAUUUUUUAUAACAAGGUAGAAGUGUACAUACUGUAAAUAUGUUCUUAGAACUCUUUUAUUAUUAUAACAAUUUUCUAUAACAAGGUACAACACUGUAAAUAUGUUUUUAGAACUCUUAUUAUAAUAACCUUUUUUCUUUUUUUUUUUUAAAAAGGUACAAGUGUACGCACUGCAAUUGUGUGGGCACUCCUUGCCUUCUGCUCGCGUGUGGGCAAGUUUUGUGCAAUAAUUCCUCAAUUUAGAAGUUUGAUUUUGACUUUUAAUUCUUUUUUUCAAUUUGGGAAAAAAAUCUGCGAUGUAGUAAAACCGCGUUAAACAAACCGGGAUGUAGCGAGGGAUUACUGUACAUCACUGAAAUUUGUAAAGAGACGGUUGCCUUGUUUAAGGAUUUCAACUCAAAGAGACACUAUCAGACUAAACAUGCGAACACAAACGACCAGCUAACAGGGAGUGACCGCGCUGAUAAAGUGAAGCAGCUCCAAGCUGAACUGGCAUCACAACAGCGAUUCUUCACACGGGACUGUGAGUCAAAAAUAAAUAUUACUAAAGCAAGCUACAAAGUGGCCAUGUUAAGACGGUUGAUGUCAUGGACCUGUAGACCUGACACAAACUAUUAUUUUCUGAAAGAUAAUGUAAAUGACAAGAGCAAAAUUCACUAGUUUUAAGUUUUAAUAAUAACAGACAACUUUGCAUUACUUAUAACUCACGUUUAAAAUGUUCAUGAGGCAAAAGUCAUUUUAAACUCAUGUAAAUGUAAGGUAUUUCAUACAGUUUGUUCAAUGUUAUCUGACUCUUCACAUAUGAAUGAAAGGCAGAAUUUGUGUUUUUAGAGUUGUUCACAUCUGCCUGAGUGACUCAUAUUUGGUUAUUUUGUCAUUUGAAAAAUAAAGACAAUUGUGACAAUGAAAUUUGUUUUAUAACCGUGUGUUGUACACUUAACUACAUUUUUGUAGUUAAAAAAUGUCCGAAAAAACUAUUGACCCCCGGGCCCCUUCACUUUAUCAAAUCUGG